AUUGAACGCUGGCGGCAGGCCUAACACAUGCAAGUCGAACGAGUGGCGGACGGGUGAGUAAUGUCUGGGAAACUGCCCGAUGGAGGGGGAUAACUACUGUAAACCGUAGCUAAUACCGCAUACCAUCGGAUGUGCCCAGAUGGGAUGAGCUAGUAGGUGGGGUAAAGGCUCCACUAGGCGACGAUCCCUAGCUGGUCUGAGAGGAUGCACAGCAACACUGGAACGGAGACACGGUCCAGACUCCUACGGGAGGCAGCAGUGGGGAAGAUUGCACAAUGGGCGCAAGCCUGAUGCAGCCAUGCCGCGUGUAUGAAGAAGGCCUUCGGGUUGUAAAGUACGUUCAGCGGGGAGGCGUUACCCGCAGAAGAAGCACCGGCUAACUCCGUGCCAGCAGCCGCGGUAAUUC
rnacentral:rRNA from 1 species